CCCUUAGAUGAUUUGGGCUGCACGCGCGCUACACUGACCCUAACAAUGAGCAACUGUCUGGCCUGAGAUGGCUGGGUAGCCUUUUCAACCCAUGUCAUGAUUGGGCUAGAUUUUUGUAAGUCUUGAUCUCUAACGAGGAAUCCCUAGUAUGCGUGAAUCAUCAAUCAAUGCAGAUUAUGUCCCUGCCCUUUGUACACACCGCCCGCCGCUCCUACUGAUUGGGUGAUCCGGUGAGCUGUUCGGCCAUAGCAAUGUUUCUUGAGCAGGGCAAUGAAUGUUUCGCAAACCUUGCCACUUAGAGGAAGGAGAAGUCGUAACA
rnacentral:rRNA from 1 species